rnacentral:pre_miRNA from 1 species
GGAGUGGAAUGUCGCGUGGUGGCGCCUGACACUUUGACUCAAACCUCUUUUCGUGAGUAGGUGAGCAAAGUUUCAGGUGUAUCUGCGCGACUGCAUUAUC